GACAGCCGCCGGAGUUCCGCGAUGUACUCCGAUGUGGACUCAUUCUUUAGUUGAUUUCGUUUAUGAAAUCGGAAACGUUCGGCUAUAACCAGUGGCUUCGGUUGGAAAUGUUUUUGGAGCACUUCUGUGAUCUCCUUGAAACUUUUGUCAGCUGGUUUGAUCGGUGUGAUGAGGCUGCGCAACAAGAUUUCCCCCUCUCUGUCGUCCAAUGCACAUCGGGGAUCCGUUUUAAUCCUCGUCGCCAGUCUAUUAUGUUCUCUUAUAACUUAACUGAUGCAUAUCCCAGUUCAGCCCAAACUUUAGCUGUCAGCCUCACGUUUGACUACAGUCAUGGUGCCCAGGUCCUAUUGCUACAAAUCAUUCCUAAAUCAUGAUCCCGCCUCACUGUGUUUCAUGACCCAUCUGCCACAUUAAACCCUGACUGUAUUCAGUUUUCUGUUCAGGUGUGGAGGCAUCCAUCUCUGCAUCUCGGCCUUGCCUUCUGUUCUCCAUGCUGUGGAACAUGGCGCUCCCUCUGGCUGCAGGCGUUUUCACAUGGUGGCAAAAAUUGUCAAUUGUGGAGUUUUUAAAAAAAGGGAAAAAAAGCUGAGGACAGAAAUUGUUUAGGAUGUGGUCUAAAAUGCCGCAAUUCAGACGUGUGUAAGGA
ensembl:lncRNA